rnacentral:rRNA from 1 species
GAUAUCUACUAUUUAUGUUGUUAGACGGAUAGCUUGGUUUUGGUUUCGAAGAAGGACGUGGCAAGCUGCGAUAAGCUUCGGGGAGUUGCAUGCAAACUUUGAUCCGGAGAUUUCCGAAUGUGCCGAGAGGCAAGUCUACGCAGGGAAUUGAAACAUCUUAGUACCUGCAGGAAGAGAAAACAAAACGUGAUUUCCUUAUUAGCAGAGAGCGAAAAGGAAAGAGGGCAAACUGAAUCUCCCGUCGAAAGAUGGGCAGAGAUGUGGUGAAGAUAAGUGGCUAAAACAUUGAGAAAAAAUAACUGGAAAGUUAUGCUAUAGAGGGUGAUAGCCCCGUAUUCGAAAAUGUUAUGUCGCUCUUCAAAGAGUAGGGCUUCUUGAAUUAGAGGUCUGAAUAUGGCAGGAUUAACUGCUAACCCUAAAUAAAACCAAAGUCCGAUAGCGUAUUAGUACCGCGAGGGAAAGCUGAAAAGUACCCAUAACAGGGUGUGAAAAGACUUGAAAUCUAACAAUUACAGUUGGUUACUGCUCUAUCUAUUUUAGUAUAGAAGGGUUGUAACGUACGUUUAGAAAAACGGGCCAGGGAGUUUGUUUAUAUGGCGAGGCUAACCGAAAAGAGUAACCGAAGCGAAAGCAAGUCUGAAAGGGCGUUAGUCAUAUGAAUAAGACCUGAAGCCGGAUGAUCUAUCCAUGAGCAGGAUGAAGUCUUCCGAAAGGAGGAUGGAGGUCCGAACCAGUGCUAUGUGCAUGUGCUUGAAUGAUUUGUGGAUAGGGGUGAAAAGCCAAUCUAAUUCGGCGAUGGCUGGUUCCUGUUGAAAUAUGCCUACGUAUGGUCUCGUUUAGUUUGUUGGCGGUGUAAAGUACGGAUAAAGUUUGCAGGGUCUAUUGACUACGGAACUUUUUCCAACUCAGAAACUGUCAACUACUUAAAACGGGAAGCAGGGGAAGUAUGUAAGAUACUUUUCCAAGACCGGAACAACGGAGAGUAAAGUUAAGGUCCCAAAAUUUAUGCUAAGUGUAUCAAAAGGAGUCUUGAACCUGAGACAGUAGGGAUGUAAGCUUAGAAGCAGCUAUCAUUUAAAGAAAGCGUAACAGCUCACCUAUUGAGGUUCGGGGCCCUGAAAAUGGACGGGGCUAAAGCAUAAUACCGAUACUUUACCGGCACUCAUGAGAGUGUUCGAGUAAGCAGGCGUGUUUUCUGCGCAGAAUUUUCUCCGAGAGGAGGAAUGGAGCGGAAAUCAAUGAGAAUCCUGGCAAUAGUAGGAUGUGAUUUUCCUGAGAAUGGAAAACGCCGUAAGAGCAAGGUUUCCUUGGCCAUAUACUUUAGCCAAGGGUUAGUCAGCGCCUUAGUUGUACCUUAACUGAGUAUGACGAUGGACAUCAGGUUAAUAUUCCUGAACUAAUUUAAUCUUACAUAAUGCGAUUCGUUUCCGGAUAAACAGAUAUUCUAUGGAAUAUUUUUAUGAAGAAAUUUGUCGAGGGUAAUCCUAAGACACAAAUUAAUUUGUAAAAGGCGAGCUGUUGAUUCCAGGAGCCAGUGAAAAGAUCGUAUUCUUGAUUAAAUUGCUGUACCCACAACCGACGCUGGUGCUCUAGCUGAGAAGGCUAAGGCGUGUAGGGGAAAACCAGGUAAGGGAACUCGGCAUAUUAGCCCUGUAGCUUAGGCUGAAGGGGUGUCUAUCUUUGUGUAUUGCAGAAAUGUUGUUUGCAUUGGUAGAUCACAGUAACAAGGACGGCCCGACUGUUUACCAAAAACGUAGCUGAUUGCUAAUCUGAAAAGACUUGUAUAAUCGGUGAGACCUGCCCAGUGGUGGUGUUUCAAACUCCUUUUCAAGGGAGCUAAGACCCAUCAAACGGCGGGGGUAACUAUGACCCUUGAAUUAACGACGGGGGUCGUUAAAUUUGGCUGUAUGCGGGAAACUCUCGCUAAGCUUUUAGUACUUAUCAAUAAACGAUAGUAAAAAUCUAAAAGAUAGAGACAAUCCGCAGGAAACUAAAGAUUUAAUAAUUUUGACCAUCUGAGUAUGGUCAUGAAUGACGAGCAAUUAAUUUACUAUCUUACUGGAUUUACGGAUGGAGAAGGAUGUUUUUGCAUCGCUGUAAAAAAUCAAAAGUCCGCAAAAGUAAGAUGGGUUCUUGAUCCAAUUUUUCAUGUAACGCAACAUGCAAAAAAUAAAGAUAUAUUAUACCAACUCCAAAAGAUAUUGGGUUGUGGUGUAGUUAUAAAAAAAUACGGACAAGAAGAUACAAUGCAACUUAUUGUGCAAAGUAGAAGAGAACUCGUCGAUAAAAUAAUCCCUUUCUUCAAAAAAUACAAAUUGAUAACAAAAAAUAAAGAUUUUGAAAUAUUUGCAGAAGUUGUUGAAUCAUUAGAUCAACAUAAACAUGCAGAUAAAGAAGAGUUCAAAAAAUUGUUAGCAAAAGUAUUUACAAUGAAUGGAGAAGGAAAACAAAGAAGAUAUAAAUUAAAAGAUAUCUUGGAAACUUUAGGAUCCUCAGAGACUAUACGCCAAAGCAACAAUUUCUAAAAAAAUUGUUGGAAGAUAUAGUCCGACCCUUAUGGAGACAUAAGGAGAUUAUUAGAAAUAAUAAUCCGCCAUCAAGAGAUGGUUAGUAAUUCUUUGAAAAGAAUGAAAGUAACAAUGUGCUUAAGGUAACGUAAUACCUUGUCGUCUGAAUGGCGACUUGCAUGAAUGGUUUAACGAGGUUGUCACUGUCCCUAUCUGGAGCCCUCUGAAAAUAUUGUCCGGUGCACAGACCGGAGACACCUAGUGGGAAGCGAAGACCUUGUGGAACUUUACUGUAACUUGUUGUUGUGAACUUAAGCGGGAUGCAUAGAAUAAGUAGGAGCGUCGAUGUCAUCAUUCUGGUGAUGGCGGAGCAAAAUUGUAAUACUACUUAUCUUGUUUAAGUUUGCUUACUCUUAAGAGGACAGCAGCAGGCGGGCAGUUUGACUGGGGCGGUGCCCUGUCGAAAAGAUAUCGAUAGGACCCAAAAUCAAGCUCACCUAGCUUGGAAAUCUAGGGAUGAGUGCGAGGGCAAAAGCUUGAUUGACUGUAUUUUGAAAAGCAAGAAAUGCAGAGACGAAAGUCGGGCCUAGUGAACCCACGUGCUUUUUUAAUAGGAGCCGUGUCUGAUAGAAAAGUUACCCCAAGGAUAAUUGGCUGGUCGCCCCCGAUAGUCCACAUUGACGGGGCGGUUUGGUGCUUCGCUGUCGGCUCUUCCUAUCCUGGUAGUGCAGCAGCUACCAAGGGUGUCGGAGUUCACGCAUUAAAAGGGAUCGUUAGCUGGGUUAAGAACGUCGCGAGACAGUUUGUAUGAUAUCUACUAGGUGUGUUGUUGUCUGAGUGGAACGAUCUUCUAGUACGAGAGGAACGGGGGUCGGAUGCCUCUAGCGAGCGGUUGUCAAAAGGCAGGCCGCAUAGCCACGCAUUAGCGAAUAAGAUCUGAAAGCAUCUAAGAUCGAAGUCGUCCGCAAAACGAGACAACUAAGGCCGUCAUAGAAGAUGACGUUGAUAGAGUUCUUGUGUAAGAUUCAAGCUUCGGCGAGAAUUUCAGCAUAGAACUACUAAAAGCUUUAUUUGUAGAAAAA